UAGGGUUACCCAUAGGUGAUUAGUGUUUUAGCUUAUGUCCCCAUAUGGUUGUUAGUAUGGUAGUUACUGAUUGUUACUAUUGCAUGCGACUGUAUUUAUGUUGCUUAUGUUUUCAUAAUUAUUUACGUUACUUCUGCGGGAUUACUUAUGCUUUAUUAUUUUGUUUUAUCUUGCGUGUGUUUCUAAUUUUGCCUUUGUUUCUUAAUGCAUCUUCUCC
rnacentral:lncRNA from 1 species